UAACCUUUUAAAAGUGGCAAAGUUUGCUACUGUAGCAAUAAAUAGUGUUUUGGGUGAUAAAAGCAUGAAAUUUACUGUUCCUAAGAUUGGCAAAUCUGAGCCCUUCAUUUGUUCUUCCAUUUUAGCCGCACGAUCUUUUUGCUUUAUCUCCUCUCCUUCGCGUCUAUUCUAUGUCCUCUCUCUGUCUUUAUCUUCUCUCUCCUCUGUCCUAUCUCCUUUCUUCAUUGCUAUUCCUUCUUAUUUUUCUUCUAAAUUCUUCUAUUUGUUCACCCCAUUAAAAUUACAAUCGGAGAAAAUGAAAGAUGACAACUUUGAGGUGCGCAAAUUAUCUAUUUGUUUGCUUUGUCAAUUGAUUUAUAGUAAGCUGUGAGUAGUUUGAAAUUAGGAUUUGGAAUAGUGUGUUUGAAGAACUUGCUAUUUAUUUUGUCAAAAUUAUUGAUAAUUUUGUAUUAAAAUUUGCUUUAUUUUGUGGGUUUCUGCAUUUGUAUGUUAUCUACAAGCUUAUGACUGUUGUGAAUUCUCAUAAUAUUCUUUGGGUUAUGAACCUUUGAGAAAGAUGUGCAGGCUUCAACUAGAAUUGAUGAAGAAAUAGUGCAGCUGCAGCAAGCAUGAAGGAAACACAAGAAAUCAACCAAGGAAAAGAAGAGAGAGAAAGUGAGAAACGAAGGAACGCCAGCCACGAUCGCCCCCCGGAACCCUGAGCCACGAACCCGCUGGAACCCCAGUCACUGUCGCCGCCAAACGAGCCAUGUGAACUGUUUUAUUUCCUAAGCCCUAUGUUUAAAUUUCAUUUUUUUUGAGGUAAUAUUUGUUAAUUGUAGUGUAAAAUUGUUUGGUUUUGAUAUGGUUGAAUACUUAUUUCUCUCUUUCAUCUUUGUGAGAAGUUGUAUUAUCUCUCCUUGAAAUCCUCUCUAUUAAGAGGUUUGCAUUCGAUACAGGACGUUGCCGUGCUACACAUCUUUGUUCUGUCGAAUAGUGUAUGUGAUGAAAUGUUACAGUUCAUAAUCAAUAUGUUUGAUUAAUUGUCUCUUGGUUUCUGCCUUUUUGUUGUCUCAUAAAAUACAUUGGACUUCAGAUUUUAAUUAAAGCAAUGGAUAUCAAAAAAGCAAAGUUCGAAUGUGCUAUCUGAUUUAUGAUUGAGCAAACUUCAUCAUGGCUUGGCUCCCUUCUUCCAGAUACUGCAAGUUUUAGGAUUCAGCAACUUUAUAAUAUUUGUGAAUUGUAGUGUAAGAUACUAAAAGUAGAAUCUUGAAUUUUACCAUAUAUUUUGAUGUUAUUUUCAAAUGGAGCUAGAUAUAUUAUCCAAACGAAAUAGAUGGGUAGAACCGUUGAAGGGUUGACUUCUGUAUUAGGUAGGUAUUUCUGGGAUGUUCAUCCUUUCACACAGAUAAUUGGUGCUUGAGGGGAGAUUGGUAUCUAGACCUCAUGUCUUUGUUUGUCCUGUUAUCUAUUAUACAUAAGACAAAAGUUUUCGUCUGUCGUAUCCAAGAGACCCUAGAUGAUAGUUUGACAUGGGUGAGCGAAGCACCAUGUACUAUUGAUAAAUGUUGAUUGGCUCUAUUUGUUUUAAGGACCUUAGUUGUUGAGCUUCAAUGAAGGUUUUUCGACUUGCUUGUUUCAAUGAUACUACAGGCUCAUUCUUUUCAAUAUCUUUGGCUAUUUAUAUGGCUUUUAUUGUUGGGCUUACUACAACUCUUAUCAUGUAUCGAUUCGGUGGAGGGUCAUCGUCGUAUGCAGAAAACUCAAAUGUUUUGUGAAUCUUGAUAAGUUCUAAUCCUGCUGAGGUUGUUCAUUCUACCUUUUAGUAAGUAGAAUUAGUGCAUGCAUGUUUGCCUUGAGUUUUUAGGUCUGUGGCUUUUGCUUGAUCUUUCUUCCUGAUGUUACCACUAACUGAUUCAGGAACUACACUUAUUCAGGAAUUAACAGAAGAUGUGCUGGAGGAUCACUUCCCGACUUCAAAAUUUUGAAGAAUGGGCUGCCAAAAGAACUUUUUCUCUCGAAUGAUGCUAAUGCUCUUGCUGAACACACAGAAAAGGUUUUGGUGAUUAAGGAUGAUGAAGUAGUUCAUAUUAAGUUGAUGAGUCACUAAAGCACACUUUUCAGGUCAGUUGAGCUAAUUCUACUAUAUUUUCAUAUUUUUUUUAGUAAUUUUGGGUAUUUUUAAUUAUCCUGAUCUGAUUUGGUGUAAAUCUCUUGUAAUUCUGUGAUUUAAUGCUAUUUUGGAAAUAAUUAUUGCUUGUUUGGUUGAAUUGGUCUGAUGAAAUUGGUUAAAAAGUCACCAAUUUUGACUUUUCCUCAUCUUUACAUAGAUAAUUGAGUGUCAUAGUAGCUAGAUGGGUGGAAAGCUUUAGUAACAAUUUCAUCAUUGCUAUUGGAAUUUCUGGUACACCGACACUGUUUAAUGGUUCUUUGGUUUGAAAGCUUUGAUCUGGUAAACUAUCAUCAAUAUGUGGGUGGUUGAAGAAUUAUCUAUAUCAACUAGAUCUACCACCAAACUUCUGCAUGAUCUUCAUAGUUUGCGGCACGAGAUGCGAAUUCCUAACUUUGUUGAUGGAUAUGGUGAUUGGUGAUGGUUGUAUUCUGUUUGCUGUUCAAAUUUUGGAGGAUUCUUGAUCCGAUAAUAUCAAGUUGACUGAAUUUUGUUGCAGCUCCAGUUUAUGAUUGUUAUUACAUGGAUUUAGAGUUGAUGGUGAUCACGGUUCUGUUUCUUGUGCUGGUUAUGUGAAAGAUUGUAGUGUUUAUAUUUUUCGGAGUUUAAAGACUAGGAUUGCUUUUACUAAGUUGCCCUUUCUUUCUAUCGUGUAUUUCAGAAUAUGCAUCAGGGGUACCCAACUGAGACUCUUACUUGGUUUCUUAGAGCUAGGGAAUGGAAUGUUCACAAGGCACACAAAAUGUUGGUUGACGCUUUGAAUUGGAGGGUACAAAAUGAGAUUGACUAAAUAUGAAUAGUAAGUGGAAGCUUAUGAUUUUCGCUCUAGCUACUGCCCAUGAGACAUGUCAUACAACUCAUGGGUAAUGAUGAAUAUCAUCACUCUUUGCAUUUUUGAUAGAUAGUAUUUACUUAUGACCAAAAGGCUGAAAAUUGACAUACACGGUAUAAUAAUAUAUCUGAAGUUUGAAGAUCUCUUCUUUCAAGUUCAAGCAUUGCUAUGCUUACAUCAUUCUCAUUCACGGUGGUUAAAAUCUAAUUGUAUACAUUGUCUGUUCAAUGUAUCUUAUUGAGCAUUUUGAUGUGUGUAAAACUAAGUUAAAUACAUGCACAUCAUGUUUAGAAUGCGUUAAAAAAUGACCAAUUUAUUUUAGGAAUUACCAUAUUUUCCUUCAGUGGAUUAUGCAUCGAGGGGCCUACAAUUAUGGUCUAUCAUUCUAAUCCAUCCCUUAAUUUACCCAGAAACCAAUUCUUCCCGCUGAGCUUUACAGAAAAGUGCGUGAUAUCAACAAGCUUUUCUGUGACACAUACCUCAAUAGAUCACAGAAUACCUUCUCCAAGUACAGAAAAGUAUCAACUAUCACAGAAUACCUUCUCCAAGUACAGAAAAGUGCCUUCAUACCUCAGUAGAUCACAGAAGUACUUGGAGAAGGUAUUCUGCAUCUAAACUACGGUACACAUGCCUUUCAGGAAUUCUAAUAAUUGGUUGUUUAGCUACAUAUUCCUGUGAUACAAAUGCAUUAGGUCUCCUAUAAUUUUGUUAGAAAUACAUACAUGAUGGGUGUUUACAGCUAGAGGAGUAUUCCUACACAAAUCUUUUAACCUACAAUUGAUCAUCUUAUUUUCGCACCACAAAACCAAGGAUCUUUUUUCAAUGUUAAAUUUUUUAUUGUAAUUUUCUUUUUCUUUGCCAAUUAUAUCAGUUUUUUGCUUAGUGGAUGAUCCCAUGUCCGGUCAGUCCUCAGAUAUCUCAGGUGUAUCAUCUACUUUAGAUGUGAGUUGUUUUAUGUUCUUGUGCUUAGAGUGAUUAAAGCUUGAUUAUGCAAGCUGUCUUUGAUUAGGUUCAUGGAGUGAUACAGAACAUUGGUGGCAAUAACCCUGCUGUUUCUGAAGGCGUGGAGAGCAUCUAUUAUCUAUGUCCGUUUUAAGGCGGCUUCAAGUGAGUCAUAUCAAAAUGUUAUUCACUAUCUUGAUGUAAGGAAUGGGUUCAAGUCGAGCAUAUUUGAGUGACAAAGGAUUUGGGAGAAACACUCAUAUGGUCGGGAUGAUGUUGAGAUCAUCACUGUAAAGGACCCUCUCAUCACCAUUGAAGUAUUCAUUUGAAGGAGGGCGGAGAAAGGAGAGGAACAGUACAAUAUUGUUGAGUGUUUUUAUGUUAAUGCAGAGUUGGACACAUCUCUCUUUUUUCCUAUGUAGAUCUAUGUGAAAAUAUUAGCUGUGGUUCUACUCUUUUAGUAUUGUUUUUGGUAAUUUAAGCGUCAAAUGGGCUAUUCUUUCUUGAAUGUCCAUGUUGAGUGUAUUUUUACAAUGAACUGGCGUA